CAUUUGCUAAUUCAUAUGGACAGAAUCCAGUCAAUAACAGGAAAAUCUACCUUUAAAUAGUUCUAUUGACCCAGAACCCAGAUACAGAGGAAAAUCAAGUGGAGUGUUUUCCAGAUAGAGGCUUAUUUUGAGUCAUACUAAAAGUGGUCAUGAUGACACAUAAGUCAGAGCACAAAGGAGUGCAAAAAAGUAAAGUAGUGAGAAUGUAGAGUUAAGUCAGAGGUGAAGAAUCAAAGGGUAAAAUAUAAGGCAGGAUAUAGGUAUUGAAAAAUCUUGCAAGAGAAAGAGAAUUGUGUUAAAAAGUGUGAAAUGUCCUGUGGAGUUAUCAUGAGAUCCACUAAAAUGAGUUGUUCACAGGGGAGUAACUAUUCUGGUUGGGAAAGAGCUGCAUCAGGAGAUGAGACUCUGUUCCUGUCAGAAAGAUACUUAAUUCUACUUGGCAUGCUCAAGUGUUUUCUUCCCCAUAAAAAAUUAAAAAGUCAAGAAAAUCACUUAAGAUUUGACAAUAAACUGAUAGUUAAAGGACAGGUUUAGAUUUAUGAUAUUGUUUAAAUCAAGUCCAGUCAGCUCACAGACUUGAAUAUUUUAUCUGUGCUCCAGCCGUAGGCAUACUGGCUGCUCUGAUAAAAUUAAAUUGAUUUGUUUCUCUCAGUUCUACACAAGCUACAUCCUGCUUUGUCAUAUCUGGCUUCUGAUAAAACAAUACUGGCACACCAUUCUACCUCAAAAUGCUGCCUGUGGCUCAAGCCUUUUGUCCCUAUGGAGUGUCAUAAACCAUCCAUGAGAUGAAAUAUGGACUCACGUAGAUUUAGACAGAAGACAGUGGUUCUGAUGACUUUUUUUAAGUUAAAAAUUAUAGAGCUGGGCAUGAAGGAAGACGUCAUGUGUUUUCACUCAGUGCCACUGGCCCACUGGCACACAGUACUAAUGCUCUCACGGCUGUACAUAAGAUUUCUUGCUGCACCUUUAGAGCAUCUGGGAAUACUGAAAUUCCUUCCCUUCACCAUUUUUCCCUUCUCCUUCUCCUACUCCCAAAAAAGCAACACUCAAACUCAACAUACCAUUACAUCCAUAAAGAUAUUAGUAGCAGGUAUCAGUUCUUAAAAUCUCUGUCAACACAUAAGACUUAGGGUUAAUGCUACCCUGUCAGUCAGUAACAUUUAUUUCUGGAGAUUUCUGGGCUCCAAGCAGUUCUCUGUGACAAGGCAGAGGCACAUGUGUAAGGAACCCAAAGAUCUUACUCUGAACAGUGCUUGCUGCUGGUCUUUCUCCUCACUGGAGGCAAUAAAUUCCUCGAGAUCAAAACUGUUGAUCUGAGCCAAAUUUGUGAUCUAUUCCAGUUCUGCUCCUAAUGGCUAAUACUGUGGCACUAUGACUUUGCGCAGUUGAGAUAUCUUCUAUGUGAAUGUCAAAUGUUGUCUUUACACAAAGCUUCAUUGCUUAGCAUCAAAAACUAAUAACACAACCAUUGCUUUCUCCACUGUAUGCACUCAAGGUAAAAAUUCCCUUUGAUGAUCUGUGAACUGGACCAUGAUCCACCAUGGGCUACUCUGAAUGCUCUAGUCACCCACCCACUUUGUGAAAAUCUGCCAGCUCCUCACAACUGCUGUAAAACCUUGUUUAGAGAUCCUACAGAAAUAAUGUGUGUUACAAUUUACAGUUUCUUUUGCUUAUCCAAGAGGAUCUCUAUUAGAAUAUAGAAAUAUUCUCUUGUUUUCCUUGGAAUUCUUUUUGCUUUUCAGAAAAGAAUACCUCUUCCAUUCUCACUGGCAAACCAGGUCACACUUUCCUUUUCCAUUGCUUCCACAUUUGAAUGGCAAACUAAUGGCUCAACUACUCAGGUGUCUCAGCGUUAAGUAAUCAAAUUUAGGCCAUACAAGCAUCAACAAGAAAUGUAAGUAACUGUACUAUUAAGGUGGUAUCUACAAUUUUUUUUAACUGCUUGUAAUCCAAAACCACAAAUGUUGUAUACCUCACUUAAAAAUCCUUCAAGUGCCUUGCACAGUAUUUAAAAAAAUUGAUAGCAAAUGAUUGCUAUGAAACGUACAUGCAGUACCUGAAUUUUAUAUUUCAAUACCUCAGGUCCAGAUCAUCAAAGCAUUUAGGUUUCCACUCCUCAGCGAAGCCCUGGGUCUCCAUGUGUAUUAACCUCUUCCCUGAAAGGAGUAACUGUUUUUUAUGGUGUGAAUUUCUAGUGUUGUCUUUCCCUAUGCAGGGAGGGAAAGGGUCAAUUUUACAGAAAGAAUGGUUCCAAUAGGCAGAAAGUUUAUGGCUCUGCAACUACAUGAACCACCUUCCCUACACAACAUAAAAAUAUUCUAAUAUUAAGGAUUAUUUUACAACUCAGUGGAAAUAUGCAGUAAUGCAAUUCAUUUCCUUUGUCUGGAUGACAAAAAUGCAGUCUUAACAGUCACAAGAACCCGCCUUGUGUUAGCUAUAAAAAAAAAUAUAUUUAUAUAUAUAUUUAUGCAACUACUAUGUGCAUUAAACAAAACCACUGUAUGAAUCAGCAGGGUUCAAUAACACUUGUAUCUGAAUCUCUGGAAGGGGUGCAUUGAAGUCUAUGGUGCUUCUCAGUAAGGACUCACAAUGAAAUGGCAAAGAAUAGAAACCCAUUUAUUUUAAAUCUUAUUUUUCUUACCCCAUUGCCUAAGAAAUGGUCCAUAAGCUCUCUGGCAGCUAAAAGGAUCUGUUGCCUUUACUUCAACCUACUGCUGAGAAAUGAAAAAUACACCUUAAUACAAACCUGAUAAUUCAUUUUUUAGCGAACACUGACACUGAAAAUCAGCGCAACGUCAUUGUUAACUCCCAUUAAAUAAUUCCACCAUUGUGAAAAUUCUCUGUUUUCUUCAGUUCUUACCAAUCUGUAUAUCAUGAGUUGUUUAGCAGACUAGUAACCAGCAAGGUACAAGAAACAUUGUAUUACUCCUGGAAAGCAUUUAGGUUGUGACUCACUCAGGUUGGCAGGUUAAUUUAGAACUGAAAAGUGUAUUUCCCAUCUGCUUAUAUAAAUGUUGGAAAAUUCCUUUUUUUUUUUUUUUAACCUGCCUUAAGACGGUUUGCUCAAUCACCUGUGAACACUGAUCAGUGCCCUUUGCACUGAAAUGGUACAGACUUUUUCCUCAGUCUUUGAGAUAACA